GUGUUUUGAAAUAGAGUGGUUGGUGUAUUGUAUAGUUUUAGCAAUUGGAUUUCAUUCAAAACCCACCAAAUGACUCCUGUCACAAUAUUAUGAUGUUGCCCAAGUUUUGGACUCAAUCCGAUAUCGGUUGGUCCUUGAAAUCGGACAGUUCAGGUUCGUUCGAAGUUCGUUCUGAAAUGGAAUUUAUGGUGUAUUGUACAAUUCUAGGGAUUGGAUUACUCUCAAAACCCCC
rnacentral:lncRNA from 1 species